rnacentral:snRNA from 1 species
AUACAUACCUGGCAGGGGAAGCACUAUGAUCACGAAGGUGGUUUUCCCAGGGUGAGGCUGAUCCAUUGCACUGGGGAUCGCUGACCCCUGUGAUUUCCCCACAUGGGGAAAACUUGACUGCAUAAUUUGUGUUGGUAGGGGAUUGCAUCCUUAUUUCCCCCUG